UCCGCUGAGGAUGGCUUUUCCUUAGCGUAAUGAACUAGGGGAAUAAGGAGAGGGCAAGACUGGUGUCAGCCGCCGCGGUAAUACCAGCUCUCCGAGUGGUAGGGAUGAUUAUUGGGCUUAAAGCGUCCGUAGCCGGCUCAACAAGUCCCCUGUUAAAUCCAACGACCCAAUCGCUGGACUGCAGGAGAUACUGCUGGGCUAGGGGACGGGAGAGGCCGACGGUAUUUCCGGGGGAGGGGUGAAAUCCUAUAAUCCCGGGAGGACCACCAGUGGCGAAGGCUGUCGG
rnacentral:rRNA from 1 species